CCCUUAGAUGUUCUGGGCCGCACGCGCGCUACACUGACGAUGGCAACGAGUUUUUCCUUCGCCGAAAGGUGUGGGUAAUCUUUUGAAACAUCGUCGUGCUGGGGAUAGAUCAUUGCAAUUUUUGAUCUUGAACGAGGAAUUCCUAGUAAGCGCGAGUCAUCAGCUCGCGUUGAUUACGUCCCUGCCCUUUGUACACACCGCCCGUCGCUACUACCGAUUGAAUGGUUUAGUGAGGACUCCUGAUUGGCGCCGCCGCCCCGGCAACGGAGCAGCGGACUGCCGAAAAGUUGUUCAAACUUGAUCAUUUAGAGGAAGUAAAAGUCGUGACA
rnacentral:rRNA from 1 species